AAACGACUCUCGACAACGGAUAUCUCGGCUCUCGCAUCGAUGAAGAACGUAGCGAAAUGCGAUACUUGGUGUGAAUUGCAGAAUCCCGUGAAUCAUCGAGUCUUUGAACGCAAGUUGCGCCCGAAGCCUUCUGGUUGAGGGCACGUCUGCCUGGGCGUCACG
rnacentral:rRNA from 2 species